GACGAACGCUGGCGGCGUGCUUAACACAUGCAAGUCGAGCGGUAAGGCCCUUUCGGGGGUACGACGAGCGGCGAACGGGUGAGUAACACGUGGGUGACCUGCCCUCAGCUCUGGGAGUAAGCCUGGGAAACCGGGUACUAAUACUGGAUAUGACUCCAUGACGCAUGUUGGUGGGGUGGAAAGCCUUGUGCGGCUGAGGAUGGGCCCGCGGCCUAUCAGCUUGUUGGUGGGG
rnacentral:rRNA from 1 species